rnacentral:lncRNA from 1 species
AACUUCGGGAGGCGCGGACCGCCCGGCCCCGUGCGCCCCUCUCUUCCCUCGGCCUCAGCGCUGCUCCGUCCUCAGCCCGGAGUGAGCAGAGAGCGGACCCCGCGGUGGCGCACGGCCAGGCUGCUUCCCGUGGCCUGGGAGCGGCUGAGCUACUCUGGGCCAAGCCGGCAAAACAGUGUGCCCUUCGCCGGCCUGCGGAGCCCGCGAGGACCCCGCAGGCCGAGUGCCGCCAGCUGGGACCCCCCCCGGGCCGCUUUGAGGCCACUGGCUGAGACCCGGGCCCAGCGCCCCGCAGCGUCCGCCCUCGGCCCGCGGGGUUCUCCCUCACGCGGACCUGCCACGUGGCCUGGACGGAGGCCGUUCGGCCUGGGCAUCAGGAUGAAGCCUGGUCCUGGGUCUACACUGGGGCGGGCCCUGUCCCUGGUGAGCAGAGCCACAGCUCCCUGGUCUGCAGCUGUGAGGAUGCUCCAGGCCUAGGGACUCGGACAGCACCAGGAAGUCUCGCCUGGGAUUAGCGACAGUGUGACCCGCGAGAGAACCCCAGCGCUGCCUGGACCUGGGACUGUCUCUCCAGCGUCCUGCUAAGCAAACACCAGUGUGGCAUUUCAAGGUGACAGGUAAACACAGGGCCGCUGGUCCCGCCCAGCCGCUGUGAGGUGAAGAAGCUCUGGGGCCUGGACAGGGGUGGGGUGCGCUUUGUCCGGACUCCACGGUUCUUCCAGUGUCCCCGCCUCGGGGGCACGAGCUGAGGGGUCCUGGACCCUGCACGAUGUCAGUAUGGUAACACAGGGCAGGCGGCCUGGGCACCAGCAAGGCUGCCGGCCAUCCCGCCCCCCCCCCCGAGAGCGGGCGAGGGCUGUGGAUUCUGCCUCACUCUCUGACUAGGACAGGGGCUGGGGUUACUCCCCACUGCACCCCACCCCUGCAAGCUGGAGCUACAGGAGGGGGAGGGGGAGAGAGGGAGGGCCUUGCCUGCAAAUUGUCCCUGGAAGAGGGAAGGGGAGGGCGCAGGGCAGGGUGGGAGCCACAAACUUGACCCUGCGCCUCAGGAGUUCCGAGGCGGCCCUGCCACUCCCAUUGGGCGUCAGUUGGUCCAGCAGUUAAGCGGGGCCCAUAGCCCCAAGGCCCAUCUGGGAGAAGGGCUCCGCAGGCCUCGGGUCUGCCUGAAUCCUUUUCAGAGGGUCCCGGGCUGUCUCCAAGGGGACAAACAGGCUCACCGGCUUGCUUGGUCUCUGCUGGCCCAAGAGGACGAGCGGGUCCGGGCUCCCCAGCGAAGCGGAGGAAGACGUCGGGAGGGCGGGGGACCCGCGAGCCAGGCCCCUCCCCGACCCACCGCCUCCGAAGCCGCCUCCCUGAGCGGACCUAGGGGUCGCUGCGAGGACGGAGUCUUCCCCGGCCCCGGGGGUUUCUAAGUGAAAACCCCGAAAUAAUUCUCCAGGAUUCCGAGGUUCUGCUGCCCAGAGGCCUCAAAGGAGAAAGAGGAGGCUGGGGAGGGGACAUUUGGAGUCAGGGCCCCCGCAUCCAUGUGGCCCCGGUUGUCUUCCUUGCGCGUUGUCAUCCACGCGUGGACUGUGCCAUGGACCCCAGCCCGGCCUCCGCCCGGCCGCGCCCUGCUUUAGGAGUCUGGGUAGUGAUCAUCAGGACUCUGCACCUUUCCCCAGUAGGAGCUGGGGUGUCACCCGCUGGGGACCGGGCCAUGGACAAGUACUGGGUGGUCGGUGGUGUCCAAGGAGACCCUCGCCGAGCGCAGACUGCAGCCCCACGCGUGGAACCGUCUGGGCACCCGGGCCCCUCGAGGCCUGGACCCGUGAGUGAGGCCCUCUGUGCUUGUGGCUGGAGUCGCCGGGAGCUCAGGGAGGCAACACCCAGCCCCCAGGCCCAGAGGCACAGAAUGAUCCCCAGGCGUCACAGUAGGACGGUCCCCAAGCCCUCAGAGUGGCCUGAGCUCCAGCGAGCGCGGUGGGGCCUGCAGGACCACAGUGUGGCUGUCCCGAGUGUCACAGGAAGCGCAUUACAUGCGUGUGCACACACGUAAAUAUUUUAUAAAUCUCCCCUUAAUUAACCAGAUCAUCUCCAUUACGCCUCCGACAGGAUCGGCAGCGACGGCGAGCAUUUUCAGGGUUUAUAAUUUGAUGUCACCAGACGGUUGCUCCGGGGCAGAGGCACAAUUGCCGUGCCAGCUGCGCUUGUAUUUAUUUGUUUUCUGCGGUGUUCCUGUAGGGCUCCAUUAUGCAGUUUUUAAUUAGUUUGUGUUUGUAUUUCACCCGUCCCAAAUCAAUGCCAUCCCGGAGCAAGGCGAUGUAAAUUCUUGCAGUACAGGUGUUGCAGCCUGCUCCGUACACCAGCGAACGCGUGUCUGACAAAUGAAAGCCGGGCUGCCAUGCAGCGGCUGUCAGCUCUCCCCAGCCAGAGUCGCAGAUCAAAGCCCUGGGUGAGAGGGUGGGGAGGCAGCCCUGAGCCGCCCAAGGGGAGCUGGGCGGGCGGAGCCUUGUGGGCGCUCGCUCUGCGUUUCCCUGGGGUCCUGGGAUCCUUUAGCUGUUGCUGCUCUGUGCUGCCCUUGAGGCCUGGAGGACAGGGCUCUGGAGGCCCGGCCCGGAGCAGGGCGUCCUGCCGUCACGGGGUCUCUCUAACUGAGGAGCAGUCACCAGCAUAGUCUUGCACAGCCAGCCCCUCGCUGAGUUUGCUGGCUUUUCUCUCUUGAAACGACUUCCUUGGAGAGCAUUCAAAUCUGGCCCUCUUGUCACAGGGGAUUCUUGCAAAGCUUUCUUUCUUUCUUUUUCUCUUUCUGUUUUCUUUUUUUUCUUUCUUUCUUUUUUGGUUAGGAAUAAGAGCCUGUUCAUCUUUAACUAGGCCAAUAGAAAUUAUGAUUCAACAGCAGUGUAUAUUUAAUUAGGGUAAUCUCACUUGAAUUUAAUUACCUAAUGAAUUAUUUGUUUAAAAGGUACGACAUCUUGUUUGCCAAGUGCCAGGGAGGCAGGCCUCUGAUAAGGACUUCAGUGCUCAGGGCACUGCAGCGGGAAGCAGGCAAGCUGAGGGGCUAGGCUUGCGCUGGGACUGGUACAGCAGCCUAGCCCUAGCCAUGGGGGGGUGUCAUUCCCAUCUGCAGCACAGAACCCUCUCCUGCUCUUGUGCACAGUGACAGCCUCGGACUCUCCGGCUUACUGGGCUGCUUUGCUGGAGAAGUUAUUCCGUGCUGUUCUCAGUGGCAUUUUCCUCCUCCUCUGGCCAGAAGGGACGGUUAUCUGCUAGAGGGGUCACCUUCAGAUUAGCAUUAUGGUGAAGAGGCAAAGCGGGCAUGAAUCUCCAGUGCCCAGCACCCGAGUGCCCUUCCCGGACCCUGACACAGCCACACCAGUGGCCGGAAGUCUUCCCAAGAAGCGUGAAACCCACGCCAUACGUUACAGCCCAGACUCGGCCCUUAACCUUUGGUUCUGCACGGGGGCCAGGUCCUUUCUUCUCAUUUCCCAAAACAAGAGCAGCCAGCGAGCCUCCCACCCUCUCAUCAGAAAGAAAAGAGAAGGAGAACACCUCAGUCACCACAGCUGGACUUCGCUGCUUUUUUCAUUAAUAUUUCAUUAACCAAAUAAUUUACUUUAAUUGCAGUUUGGGGCAUUAUUGUAACAUAAAUAUUAAAUAUUAUUAAUAUAGCAUCCAACCAAGUAGGAAUGGGCUUAUGAAAAAAUACAACACUUGAUAAGAUUAAUUUUAAAUUUCUUCUUAGAAUCCCUGAUUUGUAUCAUAGCUGUUUAUUUCUUUAAAUUGAUGCUCUAAUGACCAAUAGGGGUUAAAUUAUAAUAUAAUCAUAAUCACAUGCAGUGAUGGCCACAGUAGCAUCUUUCUUCCAAAGAACCAGAGCUGCGUAAACUUAUUUUUAAGCUUAUUUGUGAAUUUACAUCACAGGUUCUUCCAAAUCACAACUGACAGUAAUGACCAGAGAGAGCACGUGAGAUACCAGCCGAAGAACAAUAAUAUAUUUGUCAGAUCUGAGCAAACCCAAAGAUGAUUUCCUAGAAGAUCCUCAAAGGGAACAAGUUGUGUGGGAAGGAGGGAAGGAAAAUACUAACUGGUGUGUUCAUGCUUGACUCUUCCCAAAACGUUUGAAAUCGAGACCAGACAGGGUUCCAUUUCCCAUGACUUCCUGUCAGCCCUCAACCUUUCUAUGUUGAAGAUAAAAGCCUGCCUGCUAGAAAUUCCUUUUAGAACUCUGUGGACAUAUAUGCACACAUGUAUAUCCCAAGCAGAUGGUUUAGUGCCUUCCGGUUUUCUGAGAGAUGCAUGUGCCAGACCUCAGAGGGUGAUAAGUUGUGAUCUGUUCACCAGACUCUUGGGGACAUCAGGUCAACAAAAACAUCUGACAAGUUAACAUCAAGGUUGGCAGGUGCAGUGGACGUUCAGGGGAAAGUUUCUGGGGAGCUCUGAAGACUUUUAGGUCACCCACAACUUCCCAAAAAAAUUCUUCUGGAACAAAAUGGGGUGUGAAAUGGAUCUCAGGAGGAAAUUUACACUAUCCCUUCACCCACGGGUCCUUGACUCGUUCUUGCGGUGACUUUGCCUCUCGUUUAGCUGUCCCCAAGGUCAACUCCAGAGCUGCUUCAGAUGAUAGCUCAUGGCUGGAGUCCUGAGCCCCAUCCUUCCUUUGUAGGACCACAUGAAACAGGGCCUCCCCAUCUCCCACCCUUACACCAGCCUGGAGAGGCUGUGUGUACAAAUGUGUGACAGGCCAAAGCAGGGAAGCAUUGAGGCUGGGGCGGGAAAGUUUCCUUCUGCCUGACACACUGCCAGGGGUAAGGGCUCAUAGUGCAGAACACAUCUGUGUCCAAGAAGAAGGCCAAUCGAGGCAGAAUCCACAGUGAGGACGAAGCGCCCCUCCCCUGUCCUCCCUGUUCUGCCCAGUGUCCCUCCAAGACCUUCCAAGCCCACUGUCCCACUGUCUUGCAAAUAACUGAAUGGCUGCCAGGUGGAUCAUAGCUUCAAAAUUUGUAUCCAUUUAUUUGUUUGCAGUACUGGAGGUUGAACCCAGAGUCUUGCCCUGAGCUGCAUCCCCGGACGUUUUCAUGUCCUUAUUUUGAGACAGGGCCUCAUUGAGUCACCCAGGCUGGGCUUGAACUUCUCCUAGCAGUGUCCCAGGUGGACGGCUGACUCUGCAGUGAGGUUUUCUAACCCUUCUCAUGAACAGCUGCUGUUCCCAGCUGCUGCUGCAGCAGAGCCAGGACCUUCAGAGCCCUGCCCUCCGAAUCGGGUCCCCAGCGCUGUGUGAACAAAGCUCUGCGCUGGGCUUUUAGAACAAGCAGCACUCUCUCGCAUCCUGAGGUUGCCUGGGCAGGUUCAGGCUCUGCUGAGCACCUGCCGUGGCGGGGCAGCCGCCUUUCCACUGUGUCCUCUGUGCAUGGCCAGGCCUGGCCAGCCGGAGUUCCAAUCUCCUCUCCACCUUCCUUGGUAUUGGGGAAUGGAGCUCAAAGCCUCAGAGCUGCAUCCUCGACCCUUUUUCUAAAUUUUGAGAUAGGGUCUCAUUAAGUUACUAAGUUGCCCAUGCUGGUUUAGAAGCUGUGAUCUUCCUGCCCCAGGCUCCCAGUGCCUGGCUCCAAAUGGUCUCUUUUUAUAGGGACAGCAGUCAGACUGGAUUAAGAGCCAAGUUAAAGCUGCAUUUUAGCAUAGUCACCUCUUUGAAGGCUCCGUCUCCAAAUACAGCCACACUGAUACACUGCAGCUUAGGGUUUCAACAUAGGAAUUUGGGGGAUGGGGUGCAUAGCUCACCCAGGACAGCACCCAGGGCCAAAGACCCCCGCCCCGUGCCAGGCCAUCACCCUGUCCCACACACAGCUCAUGGUGCGGUACAUCCUGCAGCUUUGGGGCAGAAGGUCUGGAAAGAAGCUCGGAAAUUCUCCCUCCAGCCUUGGUAGACUGUGUUAGUCUGCACAUUAAACCCUCCUAACCUUGGCUGUCAUCGAAGGCCGAACUUGCCACUCUGAUGUGGUCUCUGCAACUCCAAGGGACUCUUGUGUUCGUGCAGUUUAUAAGCUCUCCAGAUGGAGAAUGUGCACCCUGGAGGAAAUGAAUUUUGUUCCUGCCCCUGGGGAUGCCUGUGUCUCACCGCACAUCCCCAGGGUGCUCAUGUGCCGACCCUGCCCCAAUCACGAUGCCAUUUAGGGUGUGGGAAUCUAAGCUACCCAUUAAGUUCCAUUUCCUCGGCCUUGCAGAGAAAGAAACCUACAGUGCUUCCCCCAUCGGCUGGGUCCCCUGCUCCAGACUUUUGGGUGUACUUUAGGCUUGGCUGAGAAAAAUCGCCAUAAAAAGAGGAAAUCCACAUGCCCUCCUGCCUCCCCUCGCAGCUGCACUCCUGCCAGCACUGGCGUUUUCACUGCAGCCCUGAUAGUGGUGACGCAGGAUCAGUGAUGGUCCUACAAGCUGAAGACUUGGUGACAUUAUCUAGGGUUGCGUUAAGUGGUUUGUCUAAGGUCGCCCGGCAAGUGGUAAUAAAUCC